UACAGAGGGGGCUAGCGUUGUUCGGAAUUACUGGGCGUAAAGGGCGCGUAGGUGGCCUGUUAAGUCGAACGUGAAAUCCCCGGGCUCAACCCGGGAACUGCGUCCGAGACUGGGAGGCUUGAAUCCGGGAGAGGGAUGCGGAAUUCCAGGUGUAGCGGUGAAAUGCGUAGAUAUCUGGAGGAACACCGGUGGCGAAGGCGGCAUCCUGGACCGACACUGACGCUGAUGAGCGAAAGCCAGGGGAGCAAACGGG
rnacentral:rRNA from 1 species